rnacentral:rRNA from 1 species
GAUAACCAUUGGAAACGAUGGCUAAUACCGCAUAAUGCCUACGGGCCAAAGAGGGGGACCUUCGGGCCUCUCGCGUCAAGAUAUGCCUAGGUGGGAUUAGCUAGUUGGUGAGGUAAGGGCUCACCAAGGCGACGAUCCCUAGCUGGUCUGAGAGGAUGAUCACCCACACUGGAACUGAAACACGGUCCAAACUCCUACGGGAGGCAGCAGUGGGGAAUAUUGCACAAUGGGCGCAAGCCUGAUGCAGCCAUGCCGCGUGUAUGAAGAAGGCCUUCGGGUUGUAAAGUACUUUCAGCAUUGAGGAAGGGAUGUACGUUAAUAGCGUGCCUCUUUGACGUUAGCUGCAGAAGAAGCACCGGCUAACUCCGUGCCAGC